AUUGAGGUCGGGUUGAUCCACCAAGGCUUUUCCCCAAGUGGCACAUAGUAAAAAAUGCCUCAUAGGGUAACUCUGUGGUUUUGCUUUACUCAAGGACUAUUAGAUCUGUGGGAAGGAACUGGAACAGAGUU
ensembl:snoRNA